rnacentral:rRNA from 1 species
CCCCGGUAAACGGCGGCCGUAACUAUAACGGUCCUAAGGUAGCGAAAUUCCUUGUCGGGUAAGUUCCGACCUGCACGAAUGGCGUAAUGAUGGCCAGGCUGUCUCCACCCGAGACUCAGUGAAAUUGAACUCGCUGUGAAGAUGCAGUGUACCCGCGGCAAGACGGAAAGACCCCGUGAACCUUUACUAUAGCUUGACACUGAACAUUGAGCCUUGAUGUGUAGGAUAGGUGGGAGGCUUUGAAGUGUGGACGCCAGUCUGCAUGGAGCCGGCCUUGAAAUACCACCCUUUAAUGUUUGAUGUUCUAACGUGGACCCGUGAUCCGGGUUGCGGACAGUGUCUGGUGGGUAGUUUGACUGGGGCGGUCUCCUCCUAAAGAGUAACGGAGGAGCACGAAGGUUGGCUAAUCCUGGUCGGACAUCAGGAGGUUAGUGCAAUGGCAUAAGCCAGCUUGACUGCGAGCGUGACGGCGCGAGCAGGUGCGAAAGCAGGUCAUAGUGAUCCGGUGGUUCUGAAUGGAAGGGCCAUCGCUCAACGGAUAAAAGGUACUCCGGGGAUAACAGGCUGAUACCGCCCAAGAGUUCAUAUCGACGGCGGUGUUUGGCACCUCGAUGUCGGCUCAUCACAUCCUGGGGCUGAAGUAGGUCCCAAGGGUAUGGCUGUUCGCCAUUUAAAGUGGUACGCGAGCUGGGUUUAGAACGUCGUGAGACAGUUCGGUCCCUAUCUGCCGUGGGCGCUGGAGAACUGAGGGGGGCUGCUCCUAGUACGAGAGGACCGGAGUGGACGCAUCACUGGUGUUCGGGUUGUCAUGCCAAUGGCACUGCCCGGUAGCUAAAUGCGGAAGAGAUAAGUGCUGAAAGCAUCUAAGCACGAAACUUGCCCCGAGAUGAGUUCUCCCUGAGACUUUAGGUCUCCUGAAGGAACGUUGAAGACGACGACGUUGAUAGGCCGGGUGUGUAAGCGCAGCGAUGCGUUGAGCUAACCGGUACUAAUGAACCGUGAGGCUUAACCUUACA